UUUUUGCAACACUUUUUGGGGUUCCUAAUCGGGUCUGAUUUUAUUCAAUUUUGACCCGGAAAUUAAAUGAUUUCGACACGGAAAUAUGCCAAUCGGAUCCUUCCAUUUUUGAUCUUUUGACCCGAAUUUGUUUGAAUCGGAUGAUUCCUUAAUCGAUUCUCUACAUUAAAUCCCCGAAAAUCUCUAUUUAGUUUGGAUCCAAAAAUUCAAUUUAACAAUAUUUGAUUUCCUAAUAUUACCUAAUAAAGAUAAUCAAUCAACAAAAUCUUUCAUACCAUAUAAUGUGAUUUUAAACAACUAACCAUAUGUAAAAUCGUUUAAAUGUCAAUCAUUAAGUAAAGAUUCCGAAUCUUAAAGAUUAUUACCUAAAUUGCAAUCACCAUUUGAUAAUUAUCCAAUUAUACAAUAAUUUAUUCUUACCAAUUUCCAUCUUUAUAAAAUGUAACGAUAAUCGCAUAUAUUUGUAGAUUCUUUUUACGCUAAUACUUUUAACAAUUAUUAUACAUGCAAUCGAGAGAAUAUAGCAAAUUAAAACUGUUUUCAAAACUCACGCUCCUUAUUAAUGACAUAUUCCUUAUCUAAAUACUAAAUUCUCUACAUCAUUCUGUAAUUCGGUAAUAGUGAUAUUUUUAAAGUUUGUAAAUUUGCCUAACAAGAUUUUUGAUAAUCACUCACGCAUAUCCCUCACAUCUUAUUAGACCACUAUAUAUACGUUUUAUUUUCAGCAGCUAUGAACAUCGACUCCCAAAAGCGAGUCUAUUAUACCAUCACCUCUAUUAUAUAACCAUCUUUACAAAGAACAAUGGUUUGAUGAAAAUCUGGAGAUUGCACGAAGAUCUAGCGCCGGCUGUGCAUGGUGGCAGAGCAAACAGAAGAGCUUUAGGUUUUCCGAUCAAUUUUGGUCGGUGAUUAGAGUUUUUGGAUCGAGAAUGGGGCAGUUAUGGAAAAAGAAAAGUGACUUAUCAAUUAAGUGGGUCACUUCCAAUUAUUAGCUUUGAGCCCAAUACUUUCUCUAUAUGUGUAUGUGUAUCUCAUUUAAUCUCUUUUGAAGUGGACGAAUUAAGAUGUGGUUUUUGUUUUUG